UGCACAUGUGAGAGGAUGAGCCAUGUGGGAGGACGGCUCAUCGGGGGUUCGGUGACUCCACUGACUAAUUUCCACGUGAUGUGAUUAUUUGAAGGUGAUAUUGUUGUGGGUGCUGAUAUGAUGACAUAUGAGUGACUGUUGUGUGUUCAUUCAGUAUACUAGGGUGCAUUUUGCUUGCCUGUAUGUGGUGUGUAUUAUUUAUUAUUAUUCACUGAGUUGCAAAACUCACCCCCUUCUCUCCAAACCUCCCAGGUACUAGGAAGCAGCUGAUUCGAUUGAAGCUCUGCAAUCUUCUCCGCAGAGUUAUAAAUGUAAACUUUAUAUUUUUGUUAUUUAAUUUUGGUUGUAUAAGUUACUCUUUUAUCAGAUUAUUACUGAACUCCGCA
rnacentral:lncRNA from 1 species